ACAUGCAAGUCGAACGAGAAACCCCGGCUUGCCGGGGGAGUAAAGUGGCGAACGGGUGAGUAACGCGUGGGUAACCUGCCCCUGAAUCUGGAAUAACCCGCCGAAAGGCGGACUAAUACCGGAUGUCAUCCCGGAGUCGCAUGGCAUUGGGAUGAAAGAUGACCUCUUCACGAAAGUUGUCGUUCAGGGAGGGGCUCGCGUACCAUUAGCUAGUUGGUAGGGUAAUGGCCUACCAAGGCGACGAUGGUUAGCUGGUCUGAGAGGAUGAUCAGCCACACUGGAACUGAAACACGGUCCAGACUCCUACGGGAGGCAGCAGUGAGGAAUUUUGCGCAAUAGGGGAAACCCUGACGCAGCAACGCCGCGUGAGUGAAGAAGGCCUUCGGGUCGUAAAGCUCUGUCAAGCGGGACAAAGUCCUGUGAGUGAAUAGCUCGCAGGAGUGAUGGUACUGCUAGAGGAAGCACCGGCUAACUACGUGCCAGCAGCCGCGGUAAUACGUAGGGUGCAAGCGUUAAUCGGAAUUACUGGGCGUAAAGCGUGCGCAGGCG
rnacentral:rRNA from 1 species